GAUCAGACAGGCAAUCAUCAACAACAUACUCUGAAUUUAAGAAUGACCACCACACAGUAAGAGAACUGGAAUUUGGAGGAAAACUUCAGCUCUGUGAAGUGUAGUUGGCUGAAACAAACUUCUACUAGUGAGAGAAACUCUCCCUGCUGAUGCUAUGCUGAAGAGAAAGUACAGUUGCUUCUUCCUGCCUGCC